rnacentral:rRNA from 1 species
GACGAACGCUGGCGGCGUGCCUAAUACAUGCAAGUCGAACGCAGUGGGGCCGGGUGAGUAACACGUGGGUAACCUCCCCUCCGAGGGGAUAACACUUUGAAACAGGUGCUAAACCGAUACUGAUGGAUGGACCCGCGGUGCAUUAGCUAGGUGGUGAGGUAACGGCUCACCAAGGCCACGAUGCAUAGCCGACCUGAGAGGAUGAUAGGCCACACUGGGACUGAGACACGGCCCAGACUCCUACGGGAGGCAGCAGUAGGGAAUCUUCGGCAAUGGACGAAAGUCUGACCGAGCAACGCCGCGUGAGUGAAGAAGGUUUUCGGAUCGUAAAACUCUGUUGGUAGAGAAGCGGUAUCUAACCAGAAAGCCACGGCUAACUACGUGCCAGCCGCCGCGGUAAUUC